GCGAACGGGUGAGUAACACGUGAGCAACCUACCUUACACAGAGGGAUAGCCGUUGGAAACGACGAUUAAUACCGCAUGAGACCACAGAAUCGCAUGAUAUAGGGGUCAAAGAUUUAUCGGUGUAAGAAGGGCUCGCGUCUGAUUAGCUAGUUGGAAGGGUAAAGGCCUACCAAGGCGACGAUCAGUAGCCGGUCUGAGAGGAUGAACGGCCACAUUGGAACUGAGACACGGUCCAAACUCCUACGGGAGGCAGCAGUGGGGAAUAUUGCACAAUGGGGGGAACCCUGAUGCAGCGACGCCGCGUGAGCGAAGAAGGUUUUCGAAUCGUAAAGCUCUGUCCUAUGAGAAGAUAAUGACGGUAUCAUAGGAGGAAGCCCCGGCUAAAUACGUGCCAGCAGCCGCGGUAAUACGUAUAGGGCGAGCGUUGUCCGGAAUUAUUGGGCGUAAAGGGUACGUAGGCGGUUUUUUAAGUCAGGUGUGAAAGCGUGAGGCUUAACCUCAUUAAGCACUUGAAACUGGAAGACUUGAGUGAAGGAGAGGAAAGUGGAAUUCCUAGUGUAGCGGUGAAAUGCGUAG
rnacentral:rRNA from 1 species